UACGGAGGGUCCGAGCGUUAUCCGGAAUCAUUGGGUUUAAAGGGUCCGUAGGCGGCUUUAUAAGUCAGUGGUGAAAUCCGGCAGCUCAACUGUCGAACUGCCAUUGAUACUGUAGGGCUUGAAUUAUUGUGAAGUAACUAGAAUAUGUAGUGUAGCGGUGAAAUGCUUAGAUAUUACAUGGAAUACCAAUUGCGAAGGCAGGUUACUAACAUUACAUUGACGCUGAUGGACGAAAGCGUGGGGAGCGAACAGG
rnacentral:rRNA from 1 species